rnacentral:rRNA from 1 species
GUGGAUUAGAUACCCUGGUAGUCCAUACAGUAAACGAUGAUUACUCGCUGUUGGAAGGUAACUUUCAGUGGCUAAGCGAAAGCGAUAAGUAAUCCACCUGGGGAGUACGCCGGCAACGGUGAAACUCAAAGGAAUUGACGGGGGCCCGCACAAGCGGAGGAGCAUGUGGUUUAAUUCGAUGAUACGCGAGGAACCUUACCAGGGCUUGAAAGUUAGGGAAUGAUUUUGAAAGAAGUCAGUCAGCAAUGACCCGAAACUAGGUGCUGCACGGCCGUCGUCAGCU